rnacentral:rRNA from 1 species
GGACUACUAGGGUUUCUAAUCCUGUUUGCUCCCCACGCUCUCGCGCCUCAGCGUCAGUGUCAGUCCAGAUAGCCGCCUUCGCCACUGGUGUUCCUUCCGAUAUCUACGCAUUUCACCGCUACACCGGAAAUUCCACUAUCCUCUACCGCACUCUAGCCAACCAGUCUUGUAUGCAGUUCCUAGGUUAAGCCCAGGGAUUUCACAUCCAACUUAAUUGGCCGCCUACGCGCCCUUUACGCCCAGUAAUUCCGAUUAACGCUCGCACCCUCUGUAUUACCGCGGCUGCUGGCAC